rnacentral:sRNA from 1 species
CGACGAGCAGGAAUUUUUCUUUCUCCCUUUCUUCAUUGACUUAUCGCGGGGUAUCAGCUUACAAUACAAAUAUGGUUAUAGCUCUCAAAAAGGUUGGAAAAAGCAAAACUUGCUCGCUUCAUUCAGUUUUGACUACCUACUAGUCAUUUACCGGUUUGAGGAAGGAAGACCAAACGAACUUUCUUUGCGCGGGCUCAGAAGAGAAUGAAGAGUACUCUGUAGCAUCUUCGUUGUUCGUUCUAUGGGUUGCCUACUAAGGCCAACGCCGCUGACGUCCAGGUGCGUGCGAGAUUUCAAUCAUAAUAAGCUACAGUAUAAUUUAUCGGAUCCACGGUCGCCACGACAAUCUUCACUAAAUUCCUUUCCCUCUAUAAAUGCCCUCAAACAUUAUGACCUGUCUUUCUUCUGGUUUGAUAUCAUCAGCCUUGUUAUAAAGGACUUCCUGCUCAACGGGAAAAGAUAAGCACAGGCGAAGUCAGUUUAUGGAUUGCUAUUACUCACGUUGCACUUAUAGCACUUCUCGCCUUCAGCAGGAUGACGAGGACUCGCAUCAUAAACAAAGCCGCAAUGAGAGCAGUAGUACUCGGUGGAGGGCGUCUCGGAGAAACUGUACAUGCUGGGAUGUGGCUUGAAGCUUUUGUUGUCUUGAGUACUGGGUGGGGACAGGAAAGAGGUUGCUGACAGUCUGACACUGUAAGUCAGAUAUGGUCUUUAUAGGAUUAUAGAGCGGAUAGGCAGAUUUCGAUGCAUGAUGGGUUGGCCGC